AAUUACUUAUAAUAUUAAUAUUUUCAUUAUGUUUCGGCCGACUAGAAGUUUAAUGAUAACGUUACGGCAAGUUAAAGAUUGUCGCUCCUUCUUAAGUAGGUUUAGUCAACAAUUUUCAGAAAUCACCGAAUACGAAUCUCCUAUCACCGAUGAAUAUAAGAGAGGACCCUUGGAAGGUAGAUCGCUUUAUUUAGAUGCUCAAGCUACAACACCUAUGGACCCACGGGUAUUGGAUAAGAUGAUGUUAUAUUUUACUUCUUAUUAUGGAAAUCCACAUUCUAGAACCCAUAUGUAUGGAUGGGAAACAGAAGCUGCAAUAGAACAUGCUCGUAAACAAGUGGCAGAUCUGAUAGGUGCCGAUAAAAAAGAGAUUGUUUUUACGUCUGGUGCAACAGAAUGCAAUAACAUUGCUGUGAAGGGCGUAGCAAGGUUUUAUAAAUCAAGAAAAAAUCAUGUUAUAACAACACAAACUGAGCACAAAUGUGUAUUAGAUUCAUGCAGAGCCUUGGAGGCAGAAGGGUUUGACGUGACAUAUCUACCAGUUAAAUCAAAUGGACUUAUCGAUAUCGAUCAAUUAGAAGCCGCUAUUACGCCAGUUACAUCGCUCGUUUCUGUAAUGACGGUUAAUAAUGAAAUUGGUGUUAGACAACCUAUCGAACAGAUUGGUGCUAUUUGCAGAAAGAGAAAGGUUUUUUUUCAUACCGAUGCAGCUCAAGCCGUUGGCAAGAUACCGCUUGAUGUUAAUGCGAUGAACAUUGAUCUCAUGUCUAUUAGUGGUCAUAAAAUAUAUGGACCCAAAGGUAUUGGAGCACUCUAUGUAAGACGAAGGCCACGUGUUCGCAUUGAAGCAUUACAAAGCGGAGGUGGACAGGAACGAGGUAUGAGAAGCGGAACUGUUCCAGCACCUUUGGCUGUUGGGCUUGGUGCUGCUUGUGACUUGGCACGAUCAGAAAUGGAGUAUGACCAUAAAUAUAUUACGAAUCUUUCAAAUAUCUUGAUCGAAAAAAUUAUGUCUAAUUUACCGCAAGUUGUACGCAAUGGGGACUCAAUUGCUUGGUAUCCUGGAUGCGUUAAUUUAUCAUUUGCAUGUGUAGAAGGAGAAUCAUUACUAAUGGCACUGAAAGAAAUAGCCUUAAGUAGUGGUUCUGCAUGCACGAGUGCAAGUUUAGAACCUAGUUACGUGUUAAGAGCAAUUGGAGCAUCGGAAGAUCUGGCGCACUCUAGUAUCAGAUUCGGUAUUGGCCGGUUUACUACGCUGGAGGAAAUCGAAUAUACUGCAAAACAUACGAUUGAAGAAGUUAAGAAGCUUCGCGAUAUGAGUCCCCUGUGGGAGAUGGUCGAAGAUGGAAUCGAUUUAAAAACUAUCAAAUGGACUCAGCAUUAGUUUUUUCUUCUUCGUCAGCGUGUGAGUUAGAAGGCUCAUAUAUCGAAAUAAGCAGAGAGAAUUAAGCGUAGAGAAGAGCGCAGAAAACAGAGACAGAGCGUAAAAAAUGUACGGAAACGUUCCUACGAUUAAUCUCCACCUACGGGCUACCUACGCAUCAGGUGCAUAUAUAUGCAAACUGUCUAAAUCAUCUAUUCCAUUCAAUUGUAGACCGAGGAUGGUGAAAUAUAGAUUGAGCUUUAAUGCGUCGUUAAUGUCACUUAAAAAUUGAAGUAGUUGAAUUACCCGUUGCAUUAAACAUAAAAAUUCGAUUGGAAAAUAUUCGGAUAUUGUAUGAAUUAACAAUUAAAAUCGCAUGGUAAAGGAUAAGAGAGAGAGAGAGAGGGAGAACAAAUUUGGUCAUACUUACACGUAUUCGUCUGUCGUCGACUAUAUAUUCUUUGUCGAUAUUAUCGAGACCAAGCGUCGAUUUUCGAUCGUUACUUGCGACGAAAGAAUUGUUCGCGAAUCGCCUGAAUAUAGACGUUUUCCCAACACCAUAUUCACCACAAAGAAUGACUUUUUGCUCCGUUACUUUGACGGUAGCCAUGUCCCAUGUAAAAUCGCCUUAAGACCAAGCGAAAACAUCAGCAGUCAGGGAUCAUAUUAUGAUGUAAAAUGUACCUUCGUAAAAUGGGUACGGCAACGCGAAUUAUUUCUUUUUUUUUUUUUUUUUACUUUUUAUAUUGAAACGUUCCUCCGACCGUACGCACUUGAGGAUCUCCUAAUGCACGGAAGAAGAAGUAAUCCUACGUUAACGCGAUAGAAUAAAAAUAGUAGACGAUGGACCAUGAACUAUCGCUAUCGCAGACAAACGAUUCGAUUGCGAUAACAAUAAUUAGGAUAAAAUUUUCUUUCGUAUAAUCUAUGGAAAUGAUAUUCCAUCCGAGAUUUACAUAUGUGAUCGUUAUGCAGAUACAGCGUCAUUGUUUACAAGCAGUCGAUCGUUGCUUGUGAGAUUAGUCGAUUAAUUUAAAUUUUUACCGGCGGGACAAGUCACGGUAUACAAAGUCAUGAUAUACAAGGUAAUACAGACCUCAGCGCACACUUCGGUUAAUCUAAAUUACUUAUUUCUUAAGAAUAAGAAAUAUUACAAUAUACUCUCUAGUAUAAAAAGUGAAAAGAAAAGAAAAUAUUAUUUUAAAGAGCAAUGAGAUUUAUCGUAUUCUUGGUCCAUCUCAAAAUGGGAGAUGACGCAACCAUUAGCAAAUCGAAUAACCAGUUUUAAAUAGCAGUUUAUUUCUUAUUGAUUUCGGAAUGACACAAUGUUUCGCAAGAUGGAUUUAAUUAUAUUAUAAGAAUAAUUAUUGUCUCCUCGUUCUUAAAUAAAUAUAUAUCGUCAA